AACGAACGCUGGCAGCAUGCCUAACACAUGCAAGUCGAACGAGACCUUCGGGUCUAGUGGCGCACGGGUGCGUAACGCGUGGGAACCUGCCUUUAGGUUCGGAAUAACUCAGAGAAAUUUGAGCUAAUACCGGAUGAUGUCUUCGGACCAAAGAUUUAUCGCCUUUAGAUGGGCCCGCGUUGGAUUAGCUAGUUGGUGGGGUAAAGGCCUACCAAGGCGACGAUCCAUAGCUGGUCUGAGAGGAUGAUCAGCCACACUGGGACUGAGACACGGCCCAGACUCCUACGGGAGGCAGCAGUGGGGAAUAUUGGACAAUGGGCGAAAGCCUGAUCCAGCAAUGCCGCGUGAGUGAUGAAGGCCUUAGGGUUGUAAAGCUCUUUUACCCGAGAUGAUAAUGACAGUAGCGGGAGAAUAAGCUCCGGCUAACUCCGUG
rnacentral:rRNA from 1 species